rnacentral:rRNA from 1 species
ACCUGCCUGGUAGCGGGGGAUAACUAUUGGAAACGAUAGCUAUACCGCAUAAGAGUAGAUGUUGCAUGACAUUUGCUUAAAAGGUGCAAUUGCACCACUACCAGAUGGACCUGCGUUGUAUUAGCUAGUUGGUGGGGUAACGGCUCACCAAGGCGAUGAUACAUAGCCGACCUGAGAGGGUGAUCGGCCACACUGGGACUGAGACACGGUCCAG